CCUGAAGGACUACAUCUCCCGUCCCACUUCGCGGCCAGGAGCCCGAGACGGCGGCAAGAGAGCAGCGUGGCAGGAUAUGGGGAGGUGGAACUUUAAUUAUUAGAGGUGGUAUACAGAAGGUCACAUAUUCCUACCUGAGGUCCAGGCUGGAGAGAUGGGACGUAACUACAAUGCCUGCAGACAUUCUCUACAUAUACACCUUCCUCCUGCAGCUCAGCUUGGAGUACCUGGCUUUUAACAGGACUUCAGGAGGCUGACUACAUUUAUUCACUGAUGAUGGCCAAAAGUGUUGUUAUGCUCCAUUGUUGACUGAGGCAGGAUCUAUAUGUUUUGGAAGCCAGAUGAACAGGUGGUCGGUGACAGGGUUACCAUUCUGGCUUGAAAGUUGAGAAGCUUGACCAGUGUUGUUGCCGGUGUAGUCUACCUCAUAUCCCCGUGGAGGUAAGGUGCAGGUGAAGUCAAAUUUUUCUUAGGAAGUAGCUUUUAAAUCUGAGUUCCAUGCCACAGAGGAGGGAUUUUUGAUCUGAACAAUUUUCAAAGCCCAUAACCAGUCAGGUGGCCUACGCAUAAGAAGGGAAGUCUCAAAAUAUUCCAGUGGAACCUCUGGUUUUAGGAAUUGUAUGGUCCCAGUGUGCCAGCCAGUAUGAAUUAGCUGCAGAAUGGAGUUUUAUAUUGACCAAUUGAAUUUUGGAGACUGUCACCAAGGACAAUUAAAAUCUGUUUACAUAAAUGAUGUCAAGCUGUUAUUUCUGGCACUAAUUAUGUACCAGAGCCAA